rfam:Firmicutes bacterium CAG:240 genomic scaffold, scf140
CUUGUGCAAAAGGGGUGCUGAGUUUUCUCGGCUGAGACGGAAAGAAUCGAAUUUCCGAGACCCUCGAACCUGAUCCGGGUAAUGCCGGCGUAGGAAACGAAAAUUUUUAUAU